CCCCUCUCAGGAUCACACCUGUAGAGUUUAUAGUACUCUAUCAGUCUUGGCUAUAGGAGAAAGAGUCAAGCAGAGGCAUAACCAUUCCAUUUCUAACUUGGACAGUGGUUAGCGAGUAGAAGGCAAUCUGCUACAAGU
rfam:Ornithorhynchus anatinus chromosome 7, whole genome shotgun sequence.